rnacentral:rRNA from 1 species
UACAGAGGUCUCAAGCGUUGUUCGGAUUCAUUGGGCGUAAAGGGUGCGUAGGUGGCGCCGUAAGUCAGGUGUGAAAUCCCGGGGCUCAACCCCGGAACUGCACUUGAUACUGCGGUGCUCUAGUACUGGAGAGGAGAUUGGAAUUUACGGUGUAGCAGUGAAAUGCGUAGAUAUCGUAAGGAAGACCAGUGGCGAAGGCGAAUCUCUGGACAGUUACUGACACUGAGGCACGAAGGCCAGGGGAGCAAACGGG